AUUGAACGCUGGCGGCAUGCCUUACACAUGCAAGUCGAACGGUAACGCGGGGCAACCUGGCGACGAGUGGCGAACGGGUGAGUAAUGUAUCGGAACGUGCCCAGUUGUGGGGGAUAACUGCUCGAAAGAGCAGCUAAUACCGAAUACGACCUGAGGGUGAAAGCGGGGGGUCGCAAGACCUGGCGCAAUUGGAGCGGCCGAGAUCAGAUAGGUAGUUGGUGGGGUAAAGGCUCACCAAGCCAACGAUCUGUAGCUGGUCUGAGAGGACGACCAGCCACACUGGGACUGAGACACGGCCCAGACUCCUACGGGAGGCAGCAGUGGGGAAUUUUGGACAAUGGACGCAAGUCUGAUCCAGCCAUGCCGCGUGCGGGAAGAAGGCCUUCGGGUUGUAAACCGCUUUUGUCAGGGAAGAAACGCUCUGGGUUAAUACCUCGGGGUAAUGACGGUACCUGAAGAAUAAGCACCGGCUAACUACGUGCCAGCCGCCGCAGUAAGAC
rnacentral:rRNA from 1 species